GCCGGACAGCACCUUUUCCUUUCCCUCUUUCUCUCUCUCACUCUCCCUUUCUUCAUUCGUCGUUGUGUUGGCCUCCUUGCCAGUCUUUCUCAAGUUUUGACCAGCAGCUAGAUCCUAUUCUGGUGCUUCCUCUUCCCCCUCCGAUUAGAGGCCCUCCUUGGCAUCGGACUGCUUCUCUUCUCUCCCGACACUAUGAUCAGAGCAUUUGCUAGGCCUUCUCAAUGGUUGGCUAACCAUCGGAAGCCCCUCUUCCUUCCCCCUCUCUCUCUAUCCUUCUUCCAACUGUCGGAUGCCUCCUCUGUAUCUCUAUUUCUUUUUCGAUGUAGUGGAUACUGUCUCUCCCCGGACUGUCGAAUUCCUUCUCUUUCUUGGUGUCAUGCUUGGACCAGUUACGAAAAUUCUUUCCAUUUUUUCCUCUUAUCUCUUCUCUCUUGCAUUUGAUCAACCUAUUCGGCAGUUAACUCCUCUCUUUGAAGAUCGAUGUCCGAUCGUUUCUUUCUCUCUUUAUCUUUUCUUUCAGAGCUGUUAUUGUCAUGCAAUCAUUGAUCAGCCCUCAAUCAUUAUAGAUUGGG
rnacentral:lncRNA from 1 species